rnacentral:lncRNA from 1 species
UUGUUAUGUGCGUAGUUUUCUGCCCUAAUCGUUUGAUAAUGAUGAAGAACAACUGAAACAAUUGGAUACGAAAACAACACAAAUCACCGAUUCAUGGAGCAACUGGUAUUUGAACGAGCACCAUGGGGUAACGCCUGUUCUGCUCUAAAUCUUCUUUCAGCGCUUCCAAGUUAUACUGCGUGUAUCUUUUCUUGCGCAUAAUCUUCACCAAGAUAACCACAACAGUCAUGUACACUCGUUCAAUGAACAUCAUUAUAGACAUCGCCGAC